UACGUAGGGCGCAAGCGUUGUCCGGAAUUAUUGGGCGUAAAGAGCUCGUAGGCGGUUUGUCGCGUCUGGUGUGAAAAACCUCAGGCUCAACCUGGGGCGUGCAUCGGGUACGGGCAGACUAGAGUGCGGUAGGGGUGACUGGAAUUCCUGGUGUAGCGGUGGAAUGCGCAGAUAUCAGGAGGAACACCGAUGGCGAAGGCAGGUCACUGGGCCGCAACUGACGCUGAGGAGCGAAAGCAUGGGGAGCGAACAGG
rnacentral:rRNA from 1 species